rnacentral:rRNA from 1 species
CCUACGGGAGGCAGCAGUGAGGAAUAUUGGUCAAUGGACGAGAGUCUGAACCAGCUAUGUAGCGUGAAGGAUGACUGCCCUAUGGGUUGUAAACUUCUUUUAUAUGGGAAUAAAAUGUUUCACGUGUGGGAUUUUGUAUGUACCAUAUGAAUAAGGAUCGGCUAACUCCGUGCCAGCAGCCGCGGUAAUAUGGAGGAUCCGAGCGUUAUCCGGAUUUAUUGGGUUUAAAGGGAGCGUAGGUGGUUUGUUAAGUCAGUUGUGAAAGUUUGCGGCUCAACCUUAAAAAUGCAGUUGAAACUGGCAGUCUAGAGUACAGUAGAGGGGGGCGGAAUUCGUGGUGUAGCAGUGAAAUGCUUAGAUAUCACGAAGAACUCCGAUUGCGAAGGCAGCUCACUGGACUGCAACUGACACUGAGGCUCGAAAGUGUGGGUAUCAAACAGGAUUAGAUACCCCAGUAGUC